UGCCAGCCGCCGCGGUAAUACGGAGGGGGUUAGCGUUGUUCGGAAUUACUGGGCGUAAAGCGCGCGUAGGCGGAUUAGUAAGUUAGGGGUGAAAUCCCGGGGCUCAACCCCGGAACUGCCUCUAAUACUGCUAGUCUUGAGUUCGAGAGAGGUGAGUGGAAUUCCGAGUGUAGGGGUGAAAUUCGUAGAUAUUCGGAGGAACACCAGUGGCGAAGGCGGCUCACUGGCUCGAUACUGACGCUGAGGUGCGAAGGCGUGGUUAGCGAACGGGAUUAGAUA
rnacentral:rRNA from 1 species